ACGUUGAAACACCGGUUCCCGUACGAUCACCGAAGUUAAGCAACGUCAAGCCUGGUCAGAUGGGUGACCGUUUGGAAAUACCACGCGCUGUAC